rnacentral:rRNA from 1 species
AAUAUUGGACAAUGGAGGCAACUCUGAUCCAGCCAUCCCGCGUGCAGGAAGACGGCCUUAUGGGUUGUAAACUGCUUUUAUGAUGGAAGAACGGCCCUGAAUGAUUGGGGUAUGACAGUACAUUAUGAAUAAGCACCGGCUAACUCCGUGCCAGCAGCCGCGGUAAUACGGAGGGUGCAAGCGUUAUCCGGAAUCACUGGGUUUAAAGGGUGCGUAGGCUGUUGCGUAUGUCAUGGGUAAAAUCUUGCGGCUUAACCGUGAGCUGUCCUAUGAAACUGCGCGGCUUGAAUCAGAUAGAGGUUGGUAGAAUGCGGCAUGUAGCGGUGAAAUGCAUAGAUAUGCCGUGGAACACCGAUUGCGAAGGCAGCCAACUGGGUCUAGAUUGACGCUGAGGCACGAAAGCGUGGGUAGCGAACAGG